UUUCCGUAGGUGAACCUGCGGAAGGAUCAUUAUCGAAGAGUCUUUGUAUGACGCCUUUCACUCCAUCUCCACGUCGUGUACACCCGUUUGAGCUCUUUUUAUCACAUCUCCCCCCUAAGAGCGCUACCGCUGCGGUCCCCGAUGGCCCUAUACGGAGGGCGUUUUACAUCUUAACUCAUGCUCUUUAUCGAAUUCAUAUUAAAAGUUAUGUCUUUUCAACUACUUAAUAAUUACUACAACUUUCAACAACGCAUCUCUCGCUCCUAGCAUCGAUGAACG
rnacentral:misc_RNA from 1 species